GAACGAUUACAGUGUUGCAUUGAGGGGAUUGACUCAUUUACAGGAUUGAGGCUGUUAAUCUGUGCAGCUUGAGUGGGUGCGGAUUUGGGAAAUCAACAACUUCACCUAGCCAGGUUGCAACGACCGACAUCAUACUUUUCGGCUGUGAGUCAUCAGUGGUGGUAUGAAUUAG